GGGUCGUUAGUGUAGUUGGAAACACUGCGGAUUCCAAAUCCGCCAUCGAGGGUUCGAGUCCUUCACGGCGCC
rfam:Acinetobacter phage 133, complete genome.